rnacentral:rRNA from 1 species
AGCAGCCGCGGUAAUUCCAGCUCCAAUAGCGUAUAUUAAAGUUGUUGCAGUUAAAAAGCUCGUAGUUGAAUUUCGGGAUCAAUAUGUCGGUCGUGCCUUCGGUACGUACUGGUAUCAUUGGUUUCUCCUUUCUGACGAACCAUGAUGUCAUUAAUUUGGUGUUAUGGGGAGUUAGGACUGUUACUUUGAAAAAUUAGAGUGUUUAAAGCAGGCUUUAGCUUGAAUACAUUAGCAUGGAAUAAUGAAAUAGGACGUUCGAACCUAUUUUGUUGGUUUCUAGGAUCAACGUAAUGAUUAAUAGGGAUAGUUGGGGGCAUUAGUAUUCAAUUGUCAGAGGUGAAAUUCUUGGAUUUAUUGAAGACUAACUACUGCGAAAGCAUUUGCCAAGGAUGUUUUCAUUAAUCAAGAACGAAAGUUAGGGGAUCGAAGACGAUCAGAUACCGUCGUAGU